ensembl:lncRNA
AGGGAAGCCCCGUGUCCUGCUGUGGAAGAAGCAGAGGCAGCGAUGGUGGGGCCAUGAAAUGGUUAAAGCGGUGUCGUGCUGCCUCCCGAUUGUUCUGCAAGGGAGCUGGGUUUUAAUUGACCUUCAGCACUGAAAUGGGAGCUUACGCUUGGAGGAGCAAUCUCACUUCACCAGCUGGGAAGCUGCAAAGCAUCGUUCCAUUGGUGAAGAGCAUCCACAAAGACUGCGGUUCCCCGAGCAUCGCCUGCCCACAUGGACACCAGGGAAAGGGACUGAAGAGGACCGGACUGUGAAUGUAGGGAGCAAGCAGAUGGAGAGGAACAGCAGCAAACAAGGACUCCAUUAUGCCACUCUUCAACAAAAGGUCUUCUAUUGCAAACCUGCCACCAAAGACACAGAGCGAGAUGCACUGUACUGACCUGCUGAGCCUGCCCUGGGCACGAGUACUGCAGACACCCUUUGAAUGGUGCCUUCGUGUCCCCUCUGAGCACCCUCCUACCCACUGCCAUGAUCUCAGAGAGCCCAGCAGGAGCUGCCUGGCAGCAGCAGAACCGCUGCAAAGUGUCCUGGUGAGCACUUGCAGGAUCCAGGCGGCAGCACGGACCAAUUCUCCCAGCCCCACUGAGGGUGUGAAGAGGCUGAGCAGGGCUCACAGCAUGUGGCACCAGCAGGACAUGCAGCCUGGGGACCUCACCUGUACUUUGAUGCACUCAAUGGGAGAGGGAGACAACAAAAUAUGGCAGGACAGGGGAUUUCCUAACAGAAGCCAGCUGGUGGCUGUAUGGAGGUCUUAGGUACAUUUUACCUGAUCUCACCAAGGUCUCAGGCACUUUCUAAUGGCACUUACUGAUGUACUCAGAAGGUCUGUUCAAAGAACUACUGAAGCUGAGGACAGAUAGGAAAAGAUGCAGUGUUUCAGCUGCCAAACUGGAGGCUCAGUGCAGAAACAAGCCUCCCUGCUAACUCCAAGUACAAAUCUCAGGUGGAAGGGGGUGAAGAGAUCCACGUCUUCCUCCUCCCGCAUUCCCAACACAGUGUUCAGCUUACCAUAAAGACAUCUGUGGGGUGGAACCACAUCUAAUACCUACCAGAUAGGCUGUUCCACACUUUCCAUUGCAGGCAUCAGUUUCCAGUCGUUUAAAACUUUAUCCAGCUUCACUCCAUUGUGAUUUCCCAUCCUGGAGCUCCUGUCUCAGAGAUGAAGGUGGGCGCUGCCAUCACUUCUCUCUGGAUGCUGGUGGUCAGGAUGGCACUGGUGUCAGGACUUGGCUGUUGGUUGAGCUGUGCCCUGCCACACAGGCUGCGUGCAGCUGUACUGACCCAAUGCAGGACUGAUUCACCACCAUUACAGAAAGACCUCCCAUGACUUCCCCAUGAGCAAUGGAGAUGUAUUUUGGGCACGGCGUGCACUCUGUGCACCCCCAUCAGCCGUUUCAUGCCAAGAGGUCCAAGGGCAGCAUGCAGAGAACACGACCUGCAGACGGAGGGUAGAGAUGGGGAUGCUCUGCUGGGAAGCAGCAUGGAGAUUGGUGGCCCUGCAUGCACCUGGCCACUACAGCCUCAAAGCAUCAAGAUAACUCACAUUUGAAACCUAUCUGGAACCACCUCCCAGUGCCCCAGAACGUGGAACAAGGAAUCUUGCACCAAGGGAUGGCAUCAGACCCAUCGAGCUGUGCCCUGGGGUUGCAAAACGCUGCAAGGUCCAUGCGAGGCUGUUGUGCAUUGCUCUGUUCUGGAGGAACUGUUUUGGUUUCACCUUUGUGGUUUUAUUUUGUUGUGUUGGUUCUUUUUCCUUUGUUAAAGUUGCUGCACUCCCUUUCAAAGCCAUUUGUUUACUGAUGGUGGAUGGUGGGGUGAAGGGGGAUUUAUGGCUGUGGUAACUCUGUCCACGUGUGGCUAUUACAUAUGGGAGAAUGGCAGAUGGAAGACAUGGUAGAACAUGUGGCAUAAUUCAUAGGCGCAGGACACCAAUGGCAAACAGCAGUAGCAUUAACCCUUCUCUGAAACAUGGGGGGACCUCUUCCUUUUUGUUUUUUGUUUUUGUUUUUUUUUUAAAUAAAACUAAAGAUUAGCCACUGUUGGCCCUUCUGCAUUCACAUUCAGUGGUGGGAGAGGGCACUCCACAGGUCAUUAAUCCAAAUGAACUCAGCUUAAGAGGACUUCAGUGAUUCCUACAAAUCCCCAUGAAUUCGGUGGCCAGGACAUUUCGGUUGUCAGGAGAUAGGGGGCCAUAACCCCCAGACAGUAACACUGGAAGCAAUGGCACCAUCUCUCCCACUGAUUGCCUUCUGCCCUGGGCAGGAGCCGACCUCCUCAGGGCACCCCGCCAGCCUGAAUCCAGACAUCCGUCCCUGGCUGAUCAAGCAAGAAGCCAGCUCAUAGCCAGGAACGUGAUUAAAUUUGAACUUCAC